UGGGAAUGGUGGUACACACCUGUAAUCCCAGCAACUUGAGAAACUAAGGCAGAAGAAUGACAAGUUUGAGGCCAGCCUGGGAAACCUAGUGAGACUCAGUCUCAAAAAAUAAAAAGGACUGGAGAUGUACCUCAGUGAUAAAGCAUCCCUGGGUUCAAGCUCCAGGACCAAAACAUUAGCAAACAAAACAAAAUACCAAUGAUAAUCUUCACAGAACUAGAAAAAAACAGUUCUAAAAUUCAUUUGAAAGGAUAAAAGACCUAGAAUAGCCAAAGCAAUUCUAAGCAAAAAAAAAAAAAAAAAAGGAAGAAAGAAAAUAAACAAUGCUGGAGGCACCACAAUCAAUACCUGACUUCAAAUUACACUACAGAGCUGUAGAAACAAAACCUGCAUGGUACUGGCAUAAAAACAGACACACAGACCAAAGGAACAGCCAGAGACAAACUCACACAGAUGCAGUCAACUAAUCCUUGAUAAAGUUUCCAAAAACACACACUGGAAAAAAGACAGCCUUUUUAACAAAUGGUGCUGGGAAAAGUGGUCAUCCACAUGUGGAAGAAUGAGUCUAGACCCUGUCUAUCACCCUGCACAAAGGUCAACUCAAAAUGGAUCAAAGACUUAGGAAACUAGGCACAUCCUAGAGGAAACAUGGGGUCAACUCUCCAACAUACAGACACAGGCAGUGACUUUCUCAACAGGACUUCUAAAGCUCAGGAAAUAAUGCCAAGAGUUAAGAAGUGGGAUGGCAUCAAAUUAAAAAGCUUCUGCACUGCAGAGGAAACAAGAAUGUGGAGAGAGAACAUACAGAAUAGAAUAAGGUCUUUGCUAGCUACUUUUCUGACAGAGGGUUAAUAUCUAGAAUAUACAAAGAACUCAAAAAACUCAGCACCAAAAAUACAAAUAACCCAAUUAAUAGCCAAAUGAACUAAAUAGACACUUCUCAAAUGCAAAUGGCCAAAAAUAUAUGGGGAAAAAUGUUCAACAUCAUUAGCAAUUAGAGAAAUGCAAAUCAAACCUACUCUGAGGGCUGGGGAUGUGGCUCAGGCGGUAGCGCACUCACCUGGCAUGCGUGCAGCCCGGGUUCGAUCCUCAGCACCACAUACAAACAAAAAUGCUAUGUCCACCGAAAACUAAAAAAAUAAAUAUUAAAAUUCUCUCUCUCUCUCUCUCUCUCUCUCUCUCUUAAAAAAAAAAGACUAUUUAUUUAAAAAAAAAAAACCUACCCUGAGAUUUCAUCUCACUCGAGUUAGAAUGGCAGCCAUCAAGAAUACAAACAAUAAUAAAUGCUCAAGGGCUGGGGUUGUGGCUCAGAGGUAGAGCACUUGCCUGGCAUGUACAAGGCACCUGGUUCCAUCCUCAGCACCACAUAAAGUAAAAUAAAGACAUUGUGUCCAUCUAUAACUAAAAAAAUAAAUAUUAAAAUUUUUUUUAAAAGGCUGGGGCUGUAGCUCAGUGGUAGAGUGCUUGUCUAGCAUGCAUGAGGCACUAGGUUCGAUCCUUAGCACCACAUAAAAAUAAACAAAUAAAAUAAAGGCAUCUGUCCAUCUACAACUACAAAAAUUUCUUUAAAUAAAUGCUUGAGAGAAUGUGGAGAGAAAGUAAAACUUUUAUACUGCUGUUCAGAUUGUAAAUUAAUACAAGUAUAGAAAUCAGUAUGGAGGUUCCUCAAGACUAGGAAUGGAAUCAUCAUAUGACCCGGCUGUCCCACUCAGUAGUAUUUAUCCUAAAGCACUGAAGUCAGUGUGCUAUAGCAAUUCAUGCACACCCCUGUUUAUGGCAUCACAAUUCACACAAGACAAGUAAUGGAACCAGCCCAGUGUCAGUCAACAGAUAAGUUAACUUUUAAAAAUGUGAUAUUUAUACACAAUGGAGUUUUACUCGGCCAUAAAAAAAUAACAAAAUUAUGUCAUUUGCUGGUGAAUGAAUGGAACUGGAGAACACCAUGCUAAGUAAAAUAAGCCUGACUCAAAGUCAAGGAUGAUGUUUUCUUCCACAUAUGGAAGUUAGACAGGGAAAAAAAAGAUAAAGAUGAGGAGCACAGGGAUCUCAU
rnacentral:lncRNA from 1 species